GUGGAUAAUCUGCCCUUCGCGGGGGACAACAGUCCGAAAGGAUUGCUAAUACCGCAUACGUCGGCGAGGUCUUCGGAUCUUGUCGGGAAAGAUGGCCUCUUCAUGAAAGCUAUCACCGAAGGAUGAGUCCGCGGCCCAUCAGCUAGUUGGCGGUGUAAUAGACCACCAAGGCUAAGACGGGUAGCUGGUCUGAGAGGAUGAUCAGCCACACUGGAACUGAGACACGGUCCAGACUCCUACGGGAGGCAGCAGUGGGGAAUAUUGGGCAAUGGGCGCAAGCCUGACCCAGCCAUGCCGCGUGAGUGAUGAAGGCCUUCGGGUCGUAAAGCUCUGUGGGGAGGGAAGAAACUCCGUAUGGCUAACAUCCAUGCGGUUUGACGGUACCUCCUUAGCAAGCACCGGCUAACUCCGUGCCAGCAGCCGCGGUAA
rnacentral:rRNA from 1 species